rnacentral:rRNA from 1 species
GAUGAACGCUGGCGGCGUGCCUAAUACAUGCAAGUCGAGCGAACAGACGAGGAGCUUGCUCCUCUAACGUUAGCGGCGGACGGGUGAGUAACACGUGGAUAACCUACCUAUAAGACUGGGAUAACUUCGGGAAACCGGAGCUAAUACCGGAUAAUAUAUUGAACCGCAUGGUUCCAUAGUGAAAGACGGUUUUGCUGUCACUUAUAGAUGGAUCCGCGCCGCAUUAGCUAGUUGGUAAGGUAACAGCUUACCAAGGCAACGAUGCGUAGCCGACCUGAGAGGGUGAUCGGCCACACUGGAACUGAGACACGGUCCAGACUCCUACGGGAGGCAGCAGUAGGGAAUCUUCCGCAAUGGGCGAAAGCCUGACGGAGCAACGCCGCGUGAGUGAUGAAGGUCUUCGGAUCGUAAAACUCUGUUAUUAGGGAAGAACAAAUGUGUAAGUAACUAUGCACGUCUUGACGGUACCUAAUCAGAAAGCCACGGCUAACUACGUG